AAGUUGGCAGAGAGAGGAAGAAACUCCCUUCCUGCUGAGGUUCCUGACAAACAGUAGGGGCAGGUGAGGGUAGCAAGUAACCCUGAGAUCUGCUGGUUAGGGACGCCUAGCACAAAAGGAUCUUAAGAUGCCUCUGAUUCUAAAAUUCUAUCUCUUUAAGACCCAGAGUUCCCAUGCCAAGCCUGCUCUGUGAUCCUCAGAGAUUUCAGGGGUGGGGAAACUGGAUUGAAUGCGCUGACAUACAAGCAAAAAAAGACCUCAGCAUUUUUGCCUCGCCUCGGUGGCUCCGGCCUUUUUUUAUUUUUUUUCCCUCUCUCAUUUAUUUAUUACUAUGCUAUUCCCUGGCCCUGCUGCUGUGUCAAUACUGAUAAAAGCAAAUCACCCCACAAACAGGUGCAGCUGGGAGCUGCCCCUUGGACAGCUGCCAGGGAAAUGUGAUCGCUCAGCUGGGGUGACCUGCCCCUGCCCAACCCCCACUCGGGUUCCAGCCCAGGGCAUGUGUCCUUGGGCAGUUAAUGUUGGUCCACAUGUCACAGCCCUGGUAUCCCAGUUGGCAUCAUGGACUUGUGCUGGUGUGUGUGGUUUGGGUGGGGUGGGUAUAUGCAGGAGAGAAGGGAGGCUCCCAGGAAUUUAUUUUCUCUUUCGGUUUCUUCCAACAAAUUCAGAAAAUACAAUGUCACCAAGUCCCCCUGCAAGAAUUUGAAAAUAUUUCCUAAGAAUAUCACUGCCUUAUUUCCCUAGGUAAGAAAUAUUUUUUCCCAUUCCCAAAUUCACACACACAUGCAGUGUAAUGAUCCAAAAGAAAUUUUCUGAGUAUCUCCUAGGGCUUAGCUGUGGGUUCACCUAAAUAAACAUUUUGUGAGCCAACCCUGCUAUCCAGAAUGCAUUUUGAUGCUACCAAGCCAUGUGACUUUGACUCUGGCUUGGAAAGAUUUUAUUUCAUUUCCCCUCCCCCAUUUCAGUGUUUUGUCCCCAAGCAUCAUUUCCCCACUUCCCUAGGGCACCAGCCUUUCCGGAAAUGCCCUAGCUCUGCGUGCAGCCUCCGCCUCCCGGUGUGGAGAAGGCGGUGACAGCGCCGCGCCGGAGCCGCAAGGCGGGCCUGGGCGGAGGGCGAGGGGCCGGGGCGGCCGGGCCAGGCUGCCCGCCUGCCGCAGCGCAGCGAGUAGCUCGGGGAGGGAGGAGGUUGCCAUGCAAAUGACGCGGCGUCCUGCGGGCCCCCCUUACCCGGGGGCCCUCUGGUUGCCAAAACAGAGCAUUCCCCAGAACAGUCGCCUGGAAACGAGCGCUGUCAUAGCAGCCUUGAGCUCAGUAGCAGCGAGCCAGCUGUGCUGCCACGAGGAGCUGGGUCAGGAUGUUCAGACCUCCUCAGCACCCCCUCCCCACCCAGUCUCCACCUCGGGGAAGGGAGUGGUGGCUUGGGCCACCGUGGAGGGGAGGGAGGGCGCUAAUUGGAUUGGAACACUCCUGAAACCCAUCAGCUGCUCCUCCCUGGGGGAGGGGGAGGAGGAAAGCCGCAGACUGUCUUUGUGAUCGGCUCAGCCUCUCCCUCCCAGCAGCCUCGCCCUGACCUGGUCCUCACUGGCCUCUGCCCACCUAUCGCUGUCCUGGGGCACAAUGGCAAGAUCUUUGUAAAAUGGAGGAGGCAGACACCGGAUCAGAUAAUCACCGAAAUGAAAUUCAGCCUUGAUAUGAAGGCCCCCCGUCUUUCCAGCACCUUUUCUCAUCAGCUCAGCUAUGCCAACCUGGUCUUCCUUAAACCUUGGGAGCAUUUGCUUUUUCCUAUUUCAUUUGGCACCCAGAGAGCUGCCUCAUCAUUUAAGCGUGUGUGUGCUCACCAAUUAAACUACAAUAUAAACUUUAA